UUGGAGGGCAAGUCUGGUGCCAGCAGCCGCGGUAAUUCCAGCUCCAAUAGCGUAUAUUAAAGUUGUUGCAGUUAAAAAGCUCGUAGUUGAAUUUCGGGGUUCUACCGUUGGUCGGGCUUUGUCUGUACUGGUGUGUAGAAUUUCUACCUUCUGGGGAACCAUCAUGCUAUUAAUUUAGCGUGGUGGGAAACCAGGACCUUUACCUUGAAAAAAUUAGUGUGUUCAAAGCAGGCUUAUGUCUGAAUACAUUAGCGUGGAAUAAUAGAAUAGGACGGUGGUCCUGUUUUGUUGGUUUCUGAAUCACCGUAAUGAUUAAUAGGGAUAGUUGGGGGCAUUAGUAUUCAAUUGUCAGAGGUGAAAUUCUUGGAUUUAUUGAAGACUAACUUCUGCGAAAGCAUUUGCCAAGGAUGUUUUCAUUAAUCAAGAACGAAAGUUAGGGGAUCGAAGACGAUCAGAUACCGUCGUAGUCUUAACCGUAAACUAUGCCGACUAGGGAUCGGACGAUGUUAAUUUUUCUUGACUCGUUCGGCGCCUUACGGGAAAC
rnacentral:rRNA from 1 species